GACGAACGCUGGCGGCGUGCCUAAUACAUGCAAGUCGAACGCACAGUUUAUACCGUAGCUUGCUACACCAUACACUGUGAGUUGCGAACGGGUGAGUAACGCGUAGGUAACCUGCCUGGUAGCGGGGGAUAACUAUUGGAAACGAUAGCUAAUACCGCAUAAUAUUGAUUAUUGCAUGAUAAUUGAUUGAAAGAUGCUAUUGCAUCACUACCAGAUGGACCUGCGUUGUAUUAGCUAGUAGGUGAGGUAACGGCUCACCUAGGCGACGAUACAUAGCCGACCUGAGAGGGUGAUCGGCCACACUGGGACGGAGACACGGCCCAGACUCCUACGGGAGGCAGCAGGAGGGAAUCUUCGGCAAUGGACGAAAGUCUGACCGAGCAACGCCGCGUGAGUGAAGAAGGGUUUCGGAUCGUAAAGCUCUGUUGUAAGAGAAGAACGGGUGUGAGAGUGGAAAGUUCACACUGUGACGGUAUCUUACCAGAAAGAGACGGCUAACUACGUG
rnacentral:rRNA from 1 species